UUUGUUUCUUGGAAGAAAUGCUGCAUCAUGUGACCAGUAUACCCUUUUAAAAUCAAAACCUCAAGGGGUUCCUGGCUGCCUGAGUUGUGAUAAUUUACAGUUAAAAGAUCUUUCCACAGUGAUGGGUCAUUUUAAUUGUUACAGGCAAAUGACAGAAAAUACUGAAGACUAAUCAUUUCUUGGGCCAAGUGGAGGCUGAAAGACAUCAAAGUGCAGUGAAAGAAAGAUAAUCACCAGUAUCUGCAUUAUUAAAUAUCAGUGAAAGACUUUUCAUUAAACAAUGUUUUUUUCAUUAUUUUACUGAAAAGCAUUAAA